AGGACGGGGUUUGCGGCGGCUGCCACCCCGGGUCCCCGCGGCGGAGGGAGGCCGCGCGGGCCUCUGCGGGGCGGGGAGGGCCGGCGCCGGCAUUGUUUAGUCUCAGCUAUUCUGAUGUCUAGUUUUGUGCCCUUUGCUAUGUCAAAUCCUAUAUGAAUUUCUGUUUUUAUCUGAUCGAAUGGGACUAGCCCAGUGGUUCUCAAAUUGGCUGGACAUUCAAAUUGCUUGGAAAACUUUUUAAAAACAUAGGGGCCUGCAGUCUUCCCCAGACAAGUUAAUUCAGAAUUUCGGAAGGUGGGGCUGAGGCAUUAGUAUUUUCUUAAGCUCCCUGUGUGAUUAGAAUGAGUCCAACAAUCACUCCCAACUCUAAAACGUUCUGACAUUUUAUAAAACUUGCCGAUUGAGAACCUCAGCAUGUGUUUCAAAUGAGUUCAGAGGAGAGAAUUUCCAGUGUUAGGUGUUGGUGUUUGUUCUAUCAGUUGCAUUCACAAUGUAGGCUGACAAGGGGGGGGGGACAAAAAACAAGAAAAAAAAAUUAACAUGGAAGGUAGACAGGCCGUGCAAACGAGAGCUCAAUCACAGAAGAGCUGUCUCCAGGAGACCAAAGUCAUGCUCUUUAACAUUCUAAGUGAUUCGUUUGUGCAGUGAACCAAAUCUGAGCAGUUCCAAUGUUUGAAAAUGUAAUGACUUAAAUAGAAAUCCUAAUAUACCCUUCAAGGUCAUGAAACAGUUCCUUGGCCUUAGGAAACGUGUAACUUCUGUGAGCUCAUGUAGGUCAAUUUGAUGGGCCUCUUAUAACCUUAAGAUUCAUCUUGCUCCUUAUCUUUCCUCUGCAUUGAAAUAUGUUAAUACCAGCUUUAGAAUCAAAUCAAUUCUUUUCUUUUUAAAUCUGCCGUUUUAAAACCUCCUUUUUAUUUGCACAAUUACCAAGGAGUUGUUAAAUUAGCAUAUUUUCUAGCUCUGAAUGUAAUUAAGCAAAGACCAAAGUACGAAAAGGUCAUCGAAACAAGAGACUAUAAAAGAAAUCUGAGAAUAGCGGUACAUUGCUAUUGAUAGCCUAAAAUUUAAUUUAAAGUCAGUCCUGAAAAUGUGUAAUGGUUAAGGAUUGAGUUUCUAUCCUCAUCCACAUGUUUAAAGAAUCGUCUGUAUUGGCUAUCUCUAACCAAAUUAGUGGGAAUGGGAGAGGGCAGGGAACAACUCACUAAGAAUCUACUCAUCUAUAGUCCUUUUAUCUUUUCAUUUAGAAGGGUAAGCUACUGAAUAUCAUAUAUAUAGUGCGGUACAUAAAAUGUGAUAAAUGCUGCACCUAACACACAAAGUCUACAAUAAACCAUAGAUCUACAAAGGACUAUGAUCUAUGGAUCAGAACUAGCAGAGUUAACAUCAACCCAGUUCCUAGCAACUGUUGCUAACUUAUGGCCAUAGCUAUCAUUUCAGACCCAAUACCCCCUUUAUAAAAGCAAAUAUUGUGUAUACCCACUUCCCUUCCAAAUGAGGCACUCUAUCUUCAACUAUAAUCUUUAAGUAAAUUUAAAUCAAUUUAGAAUAAUGGAUUAUAUGUUACUGUACACUCAUAAUUAUACUAUAUUCCCAUUCCUACACCCCGCUUAAUUAUAAUAAGUAAGUUAGGAUCAGGGAAAGCAAUAUGAGAAAUUAUCCCACAUGAGAAGUUCAGGAAAAAUGAAAGAGCAAAGGCAGAGAUGGACUCUAAGCUAAUAGCAGACCAGUUUUAUCUGUAGACGAUCACACAUAAAGGGGGAAAAAUACUUAACUGAAGUAUGUAUAACAUGCUAAGAUAAAUGACCAUCUGUCAAUGUUGACCAAGAAUGAGGAAGUUUGAUAUUCUUCUGAAUAAGCUAUUUAGAAACGUACUUAUAAAACAAUUCAGUGUGUUAUUCACGAGUUAAGAGUGCCAAUGAAGUGCCCUGGAAACAUUUCAUCCCAGAGCCAGCCACAUGUCCAAAGAUGCAUGCAGUCUGUGGUGGGAAAGAAAAGUGGGCCGGCGGCUCCAGAUGAGGGGAGCCGUGUAGCAACUUGGGGCAAGGACGCAGAUGCCAAAGCUGGGCAUGUCCGACAGGGAGCUCAGGAGGGACUCAGCUUCUGCUUUGGGAGGUGGCAGGAGGUGGGGGGAGGGGAUAGCCCGACCCUGGCGCCUGAAGCACCCCUCCCCUCCCUUCCUACUUGGGUCCCACACAGCGCCCCUCACCCCAUCCUGCCUUGGCCUACCUGUGCCCCACAUACACCCCGAUGCUUCCCUCCCCGUUGCCUGACCCCGAGCCUCCCUGCCUGCCUUCGACCAUCCCCAGUACCCCCAUCCUGCCUUGACCUCCCUGCACCUGGGGCUCCAUCCUGCUUCCCUGCUGGGCACUGGCCUUCUUGGACAUGUGCGUCUCCUGGCAAGCUCUGGAGCCCUGAAGUACCUGAAAUAACCGUAAGUUAAGGAAAAGAAUACAGCUCAAUGAUAAAGAAAAUCUCUAUCAUUUUAUUCAUCGAAUAAUGUUUUUUAUGUUUAGAUAUAAAAUAUGCAUAUCUGUGUGCAUAUGCAUGACUAUAUUUUGGGUUUUUAUGUAAUAAAAUUACAUAUUAACAUUUUAUUUCUUUAAAACAUUGAAGCAUUGUGGCAAAAUGUUAGCAUUUAAAAAUCUUUCUUUUAAGAAAUCAAAUAAUAUACAAAUGCUUGAAAUUUCUUUUUCACCUUUCCUUUAUCCCAUUCCCUUCUUUCCAUCCAAAGACGUAACCGUUAUCCUGAAAUCAGUGUUGUUUUACUUUCCCAGCUGUUUUUUUUUUUUUUUUUUUUUUGCCAGUCCCGCGGCCUGGGGAGGGUGGGGCUCCGGCGAAAGGAUGAGGGGCGGGUUCCCCUCCCGAUCUCAGAGAAUCUCCCAAAAGGGCAGCGGCGUGCCCACUUGCCGCCACCUCAGGCGGCCGCGAACCUUUCAAAUCGCCCGCGCCAAGAGGUACCCGGCGCUCGCGAUUGGCUGAGCCGGACCAGCGCCCCUAGGCGGGGCCUGCCCCCACGGAGCGGCCGCUUGUCCCGCCCUCAGGCAGCGGCCGCGGGUCCCGCCCCGCUGGUGCGCAUGCGCGCAGUCCCCAGAGGAAAGAGUCCGCGCACACCUCCGCCCGGCCUCCGAGUCGCGCCGCGGCUCCCUCGCCUGUCCGCGGAGGCUUGUCGGCUCGGGGAGACAGCAAGAGCUGCGGCCGGCAGGGGGCUGUGCGGACCCAAGGCGGCUGCGGUGGCGCCGGCCUGUGGAAAAUGCCACCAGGCGGCGCUUCGCUUCGUUGCUCAAGUGACGGCCGUUCCCCGCCCCCCGACCCCUGAACCCCCUGCGACCGCCGGGGAAGAACCCGCCCGCGCAGGGAGUACCGCACCGAGACGCUUCGGCGGGAACGAGGCCGACGGCCGGCUGUGCCGGUUGCGCCCCUGAGGUCUCUCCUCUCUGUUGCUGGAUCCCCUGGAAAAGACAGUAUCUAAAGAUGACUUCAGUCUCGUUCAGAACGUGUGGCAAAUGAAAGAUCCCCAAUUGUCUUCACUCAAGGUAAAGCUCUGGUCUCCCAAAAAGGAGGUUGGACUAAAUUGAAUCUUCUGAUUCCAAUUUUAUGAACUGCAUUAAAAUCUCUCUAGGGUGCAGGAUUAUGUUUGUGUUGAAGAAUGACUGCAUUAAGAUAGAUUCAAUUUUCUCCUCCCAUUCCUGCAAAGGGGAGAAAGGUGCUUCCCCUCCACUUCACGCCACUUGAAAUCACCUCAAGAGGAGCUGCAAGGAGACAAGUCAGAAAGUGUGACAUGUUCACCUAAGAGUUUGGGAAACAUUAAACUGAUGUCUGACUCAUGCCCAGGAAAGCUGAAGGGUGAGUGGUUGGUCUAUAUUCUGGGAAACAGUCUAUGAAGAGAGAAAAAUACACUGAAAAAGAGCUGCUUUUCCACUGCCAGCAGGACUUCCCAUGGUCCACAUGUGGGCCACACAGGAGGGAACCAACUGGGACUCAUUUUAAAACAGACCUCUCAAAGAUGGCUUCUUGACAUGCGUGAGGUGACUCAGUUGACCUUGGAGUACACUGGAUGCAUAAACUGAGAGUGGACUGUCAGAAGUGCUGUGUGUACCUGAUAAAGGCAUGACUGCUCUCAGAGAAAAGGAAAACUGUAUGCCUUAUACAUGUGUUUAAUACAAAUUUUAUCGCUACGAAGAAUGUAUAAGAGACAGUAUGCAAAUAAUCAUGAAGCAUACAAUAGUCCAUGUUGUAAAUUCCAUACAGCCAAGGCAUUCUCUGAGAAGCCUUUUUCUAUUGAUUUUUUGAUGAAUUAUUGAAUCCCUAAGCAAACUAGGAUUGCAAAUCAGUGUAGAUAAACAGUAGAUUCAACAUGAAUGUUGGCUGAUAGUUUUGUGUACAUUAAUGACUAAAAUGAAAAGUAAAACAACAAAAACAUGUUGGAACAUCAUCAUUAUCCAUAACAUGAGUGGCUUCUUUGCUAAUUGGAUAAUGUUUUUCAACUACUGGAAGAAAAUAGUUCCUUGGUUUUUGUGCUAUUCACAGUGUAAUGGCUACAAAUGUAAGCUUGGUCUAUAUUAUUAGUAUUUUUUUCCAUUACUUUCUUAAGUCUAUGUGAUCACUCACACAAGAAAUAAAAACCUAAUUUGCAAUA